GAAAGGUGUAUCCGAUGGACAACAGGUUGAUAUUCCUGUACUAGAGUAUGUAGUGAUGGAGGGACGCAGUAGGCUAACUAAAGCAGACGAAUGGAAGAGUCUGUCUAAGCAGUGAGGUGUGAUAUGAGUCAAAUGCUUAUAUCUGUAACAUUGAGCUGUGAUGGGGAGCGAAGUUUAGUAGCGAAGUUAGUGACGUCACACUGCCAAGAAAAGCUUCUAGCGUUUAAACAUACUCUACCCGUACCGCAAACCGACACAGGUAGUCGAGGCGAGUAGCCUCAGGUGAGCGAGAGAACUCUCGUUAAGGAACUCGGCAAAAUGA
rnacentral:rRNA from 1 species